rnacentral:rRNA from 1 species
AACGAACGCUGGCGGCAUGCCUAACGCAUGCAAGUCGAACGAGACCUUCGGGUCUAGUGGCGCACGGGUGCGUAACGCGUGGGAACCUGCCCUUAGGUUCGGAAUAACUCCCCGAAAGGGGUGCUAAUACCGGAUAAUGUCUUCGGACCAAAGAUUUAUCGCCUUUGGAUGGGCCCGCGUUGGAUUAGCUAGUUGGUAGGGUAAAAGCCUACCAAGGCGACGAUCCAUAGCUGGUCUGAGAGGAUGAUCAGCCACACUGGGACUGAGACACGGCCCAGACUCCUACGGGAGGCAGCAGUGGGGAAUAUUGGACAAGGGGCGAAAGCCUGAUCCAGCAAUGCCGCGUGAGUGAUGAAGGCCUUAGGGUUGUAAAGCUCGUUUACCCGGGAGGAUAAUGACAGUACCGGGAGAAUAAGCUCCGGCUAACUCCGUG